rnacentral:lncRNA from 1 species
GGGAACCCAAGAACGUCCUGCAAGAUGCCUUCUAAGGCGUGGAACUGGCAAGGCAUGCCGAACGCACUUGCUGGCUGUGGGCCGGUCAAUGAACAAUCGGCGGAUGGAGUUGGAGGCGCCUGCAGUUUGUGGGACUAGACCUGCCAGCAUGGGUUACAGGGCCAUGUUGGGUGUAGAAUAGGUCGUGGGUGCCGAAGAGACCUACCUAUUUGUACCACCAGGCUUGCCAGCACGGGCCAUGGGGCCUUUCUUAGUGUCAUACCCCUUCCACGUGUCAUGGCAUGAAAGGCGGGUAAAAUAUGGUACAAACAAAUGUAAAUAGCUUUUUGAAAUACGCCUCAAAAACCCUACGAACUCCCUUCUGCUCAUGCUCCCAAUUGCCAGUCUCACCUUUUAUUCUAGUGAUCUUGUUUUUACUCCUUCUUUGGAUAGUCG